AUACGUAGGGUGCAAGCGUUAAUCGGAAUUACUGGGCGUAAAGCGUGCGCAGGCGGUUUUGUAAGACAGAGGUGAAAUCCCCGGGCUCAACCUGGGAACUGCCUUUGUGACUGCAAGGCUAGAGUACGGCAGAGGGGGAUGGAAUUCCGCGUGUAGCAGUGAAAUGCGUAGAUAUGCGGAGGAACACCGAUGGCGAAGGCAAUCCCCUGGGACGGUACUGACGCUAAUGCACGAAAGCGUGGGGAGCAAACAGGAUUAGAUACCCUGGUAGUCCACGCCAUAAACGAUGUCAACUGGUUGUUGGGUCUUCAUUGACUCAGUAACGAAGCUAACGCGUGAAGUUGACCGCCUGGGGAGUACGGCCGCAAGGUUGAAACUCAAAUGAAUUGACGGGG
rnacentral:rRNA from 1 species